rnacentral:rRNA from 1 species
GGCCGAGAGGCGUAGUCGAUGGAUAACAGGUAGUGAGUCCUGUACGGCAGCAAAGCGUAAAGAGCGAAGGAGUUACGCAGGAGGUGAAACCCGCUGCGCGAUGGAUCGAUGUUCAAGCAACAAGUGCGAUUAAGAGACAAAUUCUACUAACCAGCAACACAAGUUGUGAAGAGGAGUGAAUUAAAAGUGGCGAAGGUGUGGUAAUCACACUGCCAAGAAAAACUUCUAGCCAGAGAUGACAUACCCGUACCGCACACCGUCACAGGUAGUCGCGUGGAGAACACUAAGGUGAGCUAGUGAACUCUCGUUAUGGAACUCGGCUAAAUGAUCCCGUAACUUCGGAAGCAGGGGUAGUAGCCAUGAGAUUGGUUAGCCGCAGGGACUAGGCCCAAACAACUGUUUAUCCAAAACA